GACGUAGGGAGCGAGCGUUGUCCGGAUUCAUUGGGCGUAAAGAGCGCGCAGGCGGUUUGGUAAGUCGGAUGUGAAAUCCCGGAGCUCAACUCCGGACCUGCAUCCGAUACUGCCCGACUAGAGGUAGGUAGGGGAGAUCGGAAUUCCUGGUGUAGCGGUGAAAUGCGCAGAUAUCAGGAGGAACACCGGUGGCGAAGGCGGAUCUCUGGGCCUUACCUGACGCUCAGGCGCGAAAGCUAGGGGAGCGAACAGG
rnacentral:rRNA from 1 species